UAUAUUUGAAUACUGGAACUAACAUGUGCGUUGUAUUUCAUCCGUGCAAAGUGUGAAUGCGUGGUAAAUAUAUAUUUCUGUGAGACAGGAAAAACUGAUGCUUCUAUUGUAACGUGUAUGAGUAUACCGUGUAAGAAGGAUUGGGAUCAAAGCCAAUAAGCCACGCAUUUAAACAAGCUUCCUUAAAUAGUUUGUCUUUUCUUAACCAUCCUCAAGGUCCCAGUUAUUAAACACAAGUUAAGAGCUUCCAAGUGUGUUUAGAACAAAUUUUGUCAGUGCAUGUGCUUUAACAAACUUUACAGAAGGAAAUAAGAUGUUUUUUUUUCUGAAUGGCAGUUAACGGUAACCUUCGUGAAAUGAUGUAUAACUGAUUGAAAAACGACCCGUGCAAGGUAGUAGUAAACUUUGAUUACAAAGACUAUAGAGUUAGAAUUUUCAAGUCAGCAAGGUUUAUUAAGGGUGAACAUGGCAGAUUCAAGUAACUAUUCAAUAGAAGAAGGCUUCGUCGCAAGUGUACGAGUGCAAGAGCGGAAUUAUACAUGUAAAACAUUAUAAGGAAUAAGAUCUGACUUCUGUGCAAGAUUUGGAAAAGAAGAGCUUUAUAAAAGAACAUAUAAAAUGCGUAAAUAUAUCAGGAUGCAAUAAAUCCUUUCUUUCAUGUA